rnacentral:lncRNA from 1 species
CUUCAUUAAACCUUUCACAGUUCUUGAAGAUCAACCGGACAUCAGCCACAAAGUCCUCAGGAGUCUGGUAAUGCUGAGAAUGCUUCUUUUGCAGUUUCUUUUUCACUGUAGAUAAAUCCAUCGGCUUCUUUAUAAUUUUGUAGUAGUUUGGUAUCGAGGCUGGGACUGGCUCUUGAAAUUCAAUGCUCAGCUCAUGACAAUACAGGUAAAGCAGGAGACGUUCACAUUUCCUUUGGUCCACAGGACUCAGGCCUUGUGCUGUUUUCCCCUUCUUGCUGUGUUGCAAGUUGUCGCAAUCAUAUUCUACCUCUGGUUUGCUUAGAUCUCUGCAGAACGUACAUAUCCAAUCUCCACUCGGAAAGCUGAGGAGUGUUGGAACAUGACAAGUCAGAUGAAACACUUUGGGGCACUUUUCACAACAUAACAGAUCCCCUCCGUUUUGGCAUACAGCACACCAGUCUUCAUUCGGAUCAUCAUCCUUGUUAGUGCCUUCUCCUCCUGUUCUAGCUGAUCGGUGCAUCAGACUCCGCAUUGGGGAUUUUCCAUUGAGAAGGCCAUGCCCAGACUGCUUGCAGCUUUCACUCAAGUCUCCUGGCUCAGUUUUUACAUGAUUUUCCAGACUUCCUAAGGCUUCCAAUUCACUUUCCAGAUGCAAGUUAGUGGACAGUGGUGGUGUCAAGCUGCUCUCAGGACUGCUAAGCAUGCAAGCACUCCUUCGGCCAUCCUCCGUUUUCUCCUGCUUUACUGCUCCUGAGAAACUGCAUAUCUCUUCCUCUGUCCCCGGCUCUUGCUUGACUUUCACCUGGUCAGACUUGAAGUUAACACUAGUUUUCUCAGCAGUUCUGCCUGAGGAGCC